rnacentral:rRNA from 1 species
UAGGUAAUCUUCCCUUGAGCGGGGGACAACGAGCCGAAAGGCUCGCUAAUACCGCAUAAGUUCCCAGAGUCCUCGGGCUUUGGGAGGAAAGCUAGGUAGCAAUAUCCGGCACUCGAGGAGGAGCCUGCGUCGCAUCAGCUAGUUGGUGGGGUAAUGGCCUUCCAAGGCGAAGACGCGUAGCUGGUCUGAGAGGAUGAUCAGCCACACUGAAACUGAGACACCGGUUNACGA